CCUACGGGAGGCAGCAGUGAGGAAUAUUGGUCAAUGGGCGCUAGCCUGAACCAGCCAAGUAGCGUGAAGGAUGACUGCCCUAUGGGUUGUAAACUUCUUUUAUAUGGGAAUAAAGUGCAGUAUGUAUACUGCUUUGCAUGUACUUUAUGAAUAAGGAUCGGCUAACUCCGUGCCAGCAGCCGCGGUAAUACGGAGGAUCCGAGCGUUAUCCGGAUUUAUUGGGUUUAAAGGGAGCGUAGGUGGGUUGUUAAGUCAGUUGUGAAAGUUUGCGGCUCAACCGUAAAAUUGCAGUUGAUACUGGCAGCCUUGAGUACAGUAGAGGUAGGCGGAAUUCGUGGUGUAGCGGUGAAAUGCUUAGAUAUCACGAAGAACUCCGAUUGCGAAGGCAGCCUGCUGGACUGUAACUGACGCUGAUGCUCGAAAGUGUGGGUAUCAAACAGGAUUAGAUACCCGGGUAGUC
rnacentral:rRNA from 1 species